AGGCAGAGUUUGCAGUGAGCCAAGAUUGUGCCACUGCACUCCAGCUUGGCGCCUGGAGCGAGACUUUUCCGUUGUACUAUGGAUGUGCUGAUGUCCUGAGAUUUCACCAAGUGUGGGAAACUCAACUGCAUGAUUUGUGGUAGUGGAGGACUGCAUUCAUGCUUUCCCCUG
ensembl:snRNA U1 U1 spliceosomal RNA